UGGCUCAGUGGUAGAGUGCUUGCCUUGCAUGCAUGAGGCCCUGGGUUCAAUUCCCCAG
rfam:Dipodomys ordii contig_29184, whole genome shotgun sequence.